GACAUCACUGAGCUGUACAGAAGGCGAUGUGGUGAAAUGGGUGUGGGACAACUGGGACACGGAGUACAGUGUCCCAGUCUGUGACAUAACCUUACAGUGUGAAUGGUCUUUUUAUGAGGUCAUCGUCCAGUUUGUGAUCAUGCGUUACGACAAAAACACCACCGAGCUCUACCAGGCCAGAGACAUUGCGCAUCGCUGGCUCAGAAAGGUUUUACCAUCUGACAUCUAUUUGCACAGAGUGUCUGUGUUUGAAGCAACCAG